GUUUUUAUAUACAUGGUUAUGUAUGUUUUAGGGGUGGUGGGGAUUUCAAGCACUAUGUGAGGUGGAUGA
rnacentral:tRNA from 1 species